UAUCAUAUUAAGGAGCCAUCA
rnacentral:siRNA from 1 species